rnacentral:misc_RNA from 1 species
GUUCAAUAAUGUUCAAAAUUUUUAGCCAACUGAUAACUGUGGAGAAUUAAAACUUCCUCUCUUAAGAAAGAUGAUGGAAGACACUCAUAUACUCAAAAACUCAUGAUUCACUAUUUUAUCAUAAAUCGGAUUUAUAAAGCUGACUAAAACAGUAAAACUCCUAUUUAACCCUCUCAUUUUCUUUGAUCUAAUAAUCAAGAGUAUGCCUCACCCAAAUCAUUUGUUUAAUCUUCCUUUAUCCCUACAAAUUCAUAUUAUACUUCUCCCAAGAGUGCCAAUCAGAUUCAGAUGUUAUUUUACAUGUUAUGCAUAAAAUACUUAGUAAAUGAUUUUCAGCAUGCACAUUAUAGCCUGCAGUUAAAGGCCAAACAAGUGAUUUGAAUUUGCAAUGCCAAACAGAUAAUGAGACAAUUACGCAGACUGUGCCUAUAUAAAGCCAUGCAGAGAUACCAUAGUUCUAUAGCUCAUGAGAAGUAGUUUGUGUGAAGGAAUGCAGCAUCAAUGAUACACUACCGUGCUGAAUGAAAAAAGGGAGCGUGAUUGUAAAAAGUAUGCCCAUAUGAUACAAUAAUGCAGAUUAUGGAAAGAUUUCCAAGAGCUCGUGUCAUCUAAUGGCCUUCCAGGUUUUAAACCAUUUUAUUUUUACCAGAGAAUCAUUAGGGGUAAGACCUAAAUCAUCCACAAAAGAUGUUCCAUUCUGAUAAGCAAGAUAAACCAUCUAGCAGCACUUGUUUGUAAAACUGUGGGAGCCCCUCUUCCUUACCAGCAAGGUUUGGACUUAUUAUGUUUUGCCCAGUAAGUGAUAUGACUUGCCAUA